rnacentral:rRNA from 1 species
GUGGGGAAUAUUGGACAAUGGGCGAAAGCCUGAUCCAGCCAUGCCGCGUGUGUGAAGAAGGUCUUCGGAUUGUAAAGCACUUUAAGUUGGGAGGAAGGGCAGUAAGUUAAUACCUUGCUGUUUUGACGUUACCGACAGAAUAAGCACCGGCUAACUACGUGCCAGCAGCCGCGGUAAUACGUAGGGUGCAAGCGUUAAUCGGAAUUACUGGGCGUAAAGCGCGCGUAGGUGGUUCAGUAAGUUGGAAGUGAAAUCCCCGGGCUCAACCUGGGAACUGCUUUCAAAACUGCUGAGCUAGAGUACGGUAGAGGGUGGUGGAAUUUCCUGUGUAGCGGUGAAAUGCGUAGAUAUAGGAAGGAACACCAGUGGCGAAGGCGACCACCUGGACUGAUACUGACACUGAGGUGCGAAAGCGUGGGGAGCAAACAGGAUUAGAAACCCGGGUAGUC